GCUCAACCGAGGAAGUGCUUCGAAACUGGUAAACUUGAGUGCAGAAGAGGACAGUGGAACUCCAUGUGUAGCGGUGGAAUGCGUAGAUAUAUGGAAGAACACCAGUGGCGAAGGCGGCUUUCUGGUCUGUAACUGACGCUGAGAUUCGAAAGCAUGGGUAGCAAACAGGAUUAGAUACCCUGGUAGUCCAUGCCGUAAACGAUGAGUGCUAAGUGUUGGAGGGUUUCCGCCCUUCAGUGCUGCAGCUAACGCAUUAAGCAUUCCGCCUGGGGAGUACGACCGCAAGGUUGAAACUCAAAGGAAUUGACGGGGGCCCGCACAAGCGGUGGAGCAUGUGGUUUAAUUCGAAGCAACGCGAAGAACCUUACCAGGUCUUGACAUACCAUGAAAAGCUUAGAGAUAAGUCUUUCCCUUCGGGGACAUGGAUACAGGUGGUGCAUGGUUGUCGUCAGCUCGUGUCGUGAGAUGUUGGGUUAAGUCCCGCCACGAGCGCAACCCUUAUUAUCAGUUGCCAGCAUUCAGUUGGGCACUCUGGUGAGACUGCCGGUGACAAACCGGAGGAAGGUGGGGAUGACGUCAAAUCAUCAUGCCCCUUAUGACCUGGGCUACACACGUGCUACAAUGGUCGGUACAACG
rnacentral:rRNA from 1 species